GUCUAUGGCCAUGCCAUCCUGAACAAGCCUGAUCCCGUCUGAUCUCGGAAGCUAAGCAGAGUCAAGCCUGGUUAGUACUUGUAUGGGAGACCACCUAGGAAGACCGGGUGCUGUAGGUG
rnacentral:rRNA from 1 species